GUGCUCACUUCGUCAGCACAUAUACUAAAAUUGGAAUGAUAUUAAGAUUAGCAAGGCCCCCGCACAAGGAUAAUGCUCAAAUUCACGAAGCACUCCACAUAAAA
rnacentral:snRNA from 1 species